GCGUCGUGGUAUUUCGCGUAUUGUAAUUUCAACACGAGCGGGGUCAAAUCCUUUGCAGACGACUUAGCUGUGCGAAACGGUCCUGUAAGCAGUAGAGUAGCCUUGUUGUUACGAUCUGCUGAGGGUAAGCCGUCCUUCGCCUCGAUUU
rnacentral:rRNA from 1 species